GAUGAACGCUGGCGGCGUGCCUAAUACAUGCAAGUCGAGCGAACAGACGAGGAGCUUGCUCCUCUGACGUUAGCGGCGGACGGGUGAGUAACACGUGGAUAACCUACCUAUAAGACUGGGAUAACUUCGGGAAACCGGAGCUAAUACCGGAUAACAUGUUGAACCGCAUGGUUCAACAGUGAAAGACGGUUUUGCUGUCACUUAUAGAUGGAUCCGCGUCGCAUUAGCUAGUUGGUAAGGUAACGGCUUACCAAGGCAACGAUGCGUAGCCGACCUGAGAGGGUGAUCGGCCACACUGGAACUGAGACACGGUCCAGACUCCUACGGGAGGCAGCAGUAGGGAAUCUUCCGCAAUGGGCGAAAGCCUGACGGAGCAACGCCGCGUGAGUGAAGAAGGUCUUCGGAUCGUAAAACUUUGUUAUUAGGGAAGAACAAAUGUGUAAGUAACUAUGCACGUCUUGACGGUACCUAAUCAGAAAGCCACGGCUAACUACGUG
rnacentral:rRNA from 1 species